rnacentral:lncRNA from 1 species
UUUGAUAUCAAUCGACUUGUCAAUCGCUUUGAUAGCAUGUUCCUGAAAAGUUCUUACCUGGUGUUUAGUUCAAUCGAUUUCCCAAUCGAUUGCAACCAAACUUUAUCAAAAUAGAAAGUGUUAACAAUAGAUUGUCCAAUCGAUUGUAUUUGUCACAGGUGAGGUCAUUUUUCAAAUGAUACUUUGUCAAUCGAUUUGCCAAUCGAUUUCCUCAGCACUGGAGUGCCACUGUGACUCAUUCAAUCGAUUUACCAAUCGAUGUGUUACCAUCAGGUUUGAUUUGUGAAAUGUUCAAUCGAUUUCCCAAUCGAUUACUCUCCAAAUCAGAGGCUACUGACUUGUGCAGUUUUCAUUUUUAAUUAAGCUAAUCGAUUGCCUAAUCGAUUUCACAUUUACAAACACUUAAGAUUUCCUUACACCCUUGUUAUGAAAUCGAUUUCCCAAUCGAUUUACAUAGUCAGAAUUCAACUUUUGUUGAUUUCUUGUGUUCCAAGCAAUUUGAUCCAAGUGUGUAGGAUUGGAUUAUGGUUCCUGAAAUUUUGCUCAAUUGAAAUAUUAGAUUUAUCAUAUUAAGUAUGAAUAUUGUUGAAUUGUGAAUUAUGUCAAAAUUAGGAAUCAAAGGAUCAAAAUCCAAC